rnacentral:rRNA from 1 species
CCCUUAGAUGUUCUGGGCUGCACGCGCGCUACACUGACGCACGCAACAGGUGCCUGCUCCGAGAGGACUGGGUAAUCAUUUGAGUGUGCGUCGUGAUGGGGAUAGAAUAUUGUAAUUAUUACUCUUCAACGAGGAAUUCCUAGUAAGCGCCAGUCAGCAGCUUGCGCUGAUUACGUCCCUGCCCUUUGUACACACCGCCCGUCGCUCCUACCGAUGGGUGAUCCGGUGAAUGAUUCGGACUUCAGCGGCUCCCCUGGGGUGCGCCGGAGAAAGUUUUGGGAACCUUAUCACUUGGAGGAAGGAGAAGUCGUAACA